GCCCAUAAUCGGUACGGGUUGUGAGAGCAAGAGCCCGGAGACGGUAUCUGAGACAAGAUACCGGGCCCUACGGGGCGCAGCAGGCGCGAAAACUUUACACUGCACGGACAGUGCGAUAAGGGAACUCCGAGUGCGAGGGCAUAUCGUCCUCGCUUUUUCUGUACCGUAGGGAGGUACAAGAAUAAGGGCUGGGCAAGACCGGUGCCAGCCGCCGCGGUAACACCGGCAGCCCGAGUGAUGGCCGAUAUUAUUGGGCCUAAAGCGUCCGUAGCCAGCUGAACAGGUCCGUCGGGAAAUCUGCUCGCUCAACGAGCAGGCGUCCGGCGGAAACCAGUCAGCUUGGGAUCGAGAGGCCCGAAGGGUACGUCUGGGGUAGGAGUGAAAUCCCGUAAUCCUGGACGGACCACCGAUGGCGAAAGCACUUCGGUAGGUCGGAUCCGACGGUGAGGGACGAAAGCUAGGGUCACGAACCGGAUUAGAUACCCGGGUAGUCCUAGCCGUAAACGAUGCUCGUUAGGUGUGGCGCAGACUACGAGCCAGUGCCGUGCCGCAGCGAAGCCGAGAAACGAGCCGCCUGGGAAGUACGUCCGCAAGGAUGAAACUUAAAGGAAUUGGCGGGGGAGCACUACAACCGGAGGAGCCUGCGGUUUAAUUGGACUCAACGCCGGACAUCUCACCAGCUCCGACAGUGUGCAGUGACGGUCAGUGUGAUGAGCUUACCUGAGCCACUGAGAGGAGGUGCAUGGCCGCCGUCAGCUCGUACCGUGAGGCGUCCUGUUAAGUCAGGCAACGAGCGAGACCCGCACGCCUAAUUGCCAGCAACACCCUUGAGGUGGUUGGGUACAUUAGGUGGACUGCCGCUGCUAAAGCGGAGGAAGGAACGGGCAACGGUAGGUCAGUAUGCCCCGAAUGAGCUGGGCAACACGCGGGCUACAAUGGUCGAGACAAUGGGAAGCCACCCCGAGAGGGGGCGCUAAUCUCCGAAACUCGAUCGUAGUUCGGAUUGCGGACUGAAACUCGUCCGCAUGAAGCUGGAUUCGGUAGUAAUCGCGUUUCAGAAGAGCGCGGUGAAUACGUCCCUGCUCCUUGCACACACCGCCCGUCAAAGCACCCGAGUGGGGU
rnacentral:rRNA from 1 species